rnacentral:rRNA from 1 species
AGUGAACGCUGGCGGUAGGCCUAACACAUGCAAGUCGAACGGCAGCACAGUAAGAGCUUGCUCUUACGGGUGGCGAGUGGCGGACGGGUGAGGAAUACAUCGGAAUCUACUUUUUCGUGGGGAUAACGUAGGGAAACUUACGCUAAUACCGCAUACGACCUACGGGUGAAAGCAGGGGAUCUUCGGACCUUGCGCGAUUGAAUGAGCCGAUGUCGGAUUAGCUAGGUGGCGGGGUAAAGGCCCACCAAGGCGACGAUCCGUAGCCGGUCUGAGAGGAUGAUCAGCCACACUGGAACUGAGACACGGUCCAGACUCCUACGGGAGGCAGCAGUGGGGAAUAUUGGACAAUGGGCGCAAGCCUGAUCCAGCCAUACCGCGUGAGUGAAGAAGGCCUUCGGGUUGUAAAGCUCUUUUGUUGGGAAAGAAAAGCAGCAGGUUAAUACCCCGCUGUUCUGACGGUACCCAAAGAAUAAGCACCGGCUAACUUCGUG